rnacentral:misc_RNA from 1 species
AACACCCCUCAGAACUUUUUGAUUUUCGAAUCUUGGAGCUCUGGAUUUGAGUGAUCCCAACGCGUUCUUUCGCAGAACAUGGCGGGCCACUUGAAAUGCAGGUGCAGCUGGACUUUCUUCUGAGCUAAAAGCAUAUUUAUUUAGUCCUGUCAACACUUGUGUUGCGGAUUAUUACUUCUGCUGCAGCUAACAUAAAGGUUGAUUGUUCAAAUGCUGACUGAUGCAGGAUUUAUCAGUAGCGCAAGCUAUCUGUUAAAC